rnacentral:lncRNA from 1 species
AUGAUCCCCAAAAAAAAAACCCCAAAAAAUCCUAAAAUUCCCCACAAAAAGCCCCAAAAAAAUCCCAAAAAAUCCCCCCAAAAAAAUCCCCCCAAAACCCCCCAAAAUAAUUCCAAAAAAUCCCCCCCAAAAAACAUAAAACCAACCCCAAAAUACCCCAAAAUCAACCCAAAAAAUCCCCCCAAAAAUUCCCCCAAAAAAUCCCAGAAUUUUGAGCUGGGGUCAGUGACCUCAAAUCCGCAGAAUUCAACCCAAAAAUUCAGAGUUUGGGAAAGGAAAAAUAACCCCCAAAAAUACCCCAAAAAUCCCCCAAAAAACCCCAAAAAAAUUCUCCCAAAAAUCCCAAAAAAACCCCCAAAAAAUCCCCAUAAAAAUCCCCAAGAAUAAUCCCCAAAAAAAACCCCAAAAUCCCCCAAAAUAAUCCCAAAAAAUCCCGAUAACAAUACCCCCAAAAAAUCCCCCAAAAAAUCCCCCAAAAAAGCCCCAAAAAGGCCCAAAUUCCCCCCAAAAAUCCCAAUUUUUCCCCAAAUUUCCCCAAUUUGCCCAAAAUCGCCGUUUUUUGCCCCAAACUCGCGUGGCAGACGAAGAUCCGGCUCUGGCCCUGCUCCAGCAGCUGCUCCAGCUCCUCCUCGGCCAGAGGGGGGUGCCCGGCUGGAAAUGGGGAGAAAAAAGCCAAAAAUGGGCAAAAAUGGGAAAUUCAACCCAAAAAUGGGAAAUUUGACCCAAAAAUGGGGAAAUUCACCCCAAAAUCGGGAAAAAAAUCACCCAAAAAUGGGGAAAAUUAACCCAAAAUCGGGGAAAAAUCACCCAAAAAUGGGAAAAUUCAUCCCAAAAUUGGGGGGAAUUGACCCAAAAAUGGGAAUAAUUCAGCCCAAAAAUGGGGAAAAUUCACCCAAAAUUGGGAAAAUUGAGCAGAAAUGGGAAAAUUGACCCAAAAAUGGGGUAAAAUAGCCCAAAAUUGGGAAAAAAUACCCCAAAAAUGGAGGAAAAUGACCCAAAAAUGGGGAGAAUUCACCCAAAAUUGGGGAAAUUUGAGCAAAAUUGGGGAGAAUUGACCCAAAAAUGGAGAAAUUUGACCCAAAGAUGGGGAAAAGUGACCCAAAAAUGGGAAUUAUCAACCCAAAAUUGGGGAGAAUUGACCCAAAAAUGGAGAAAAUUGAGCAAAAAUGGGAAAAUUCACCCCAAAAUUGGAGAAAUUUGACCCAAAAUUGGAAAAAUUUGACCCAAAAAUGGGGAAAAUUCAUCCAAAUUUGGGCAAAAUUCACCCCCAAAAUGAGAAAAUUGACCCAAAAUUGGGAAAUUCACCCCAAAAUUUAGGACACCCCCCCAAAAUUCUUUUUCCAAACCCCUCAAAAAUCAUUAAAACGCCCCAAAAUUUAUCAGAACC